GAAGAGAGAGUUCAACAGUACGUGAAACCGUUCGGGGGAAAACGGACAGAGCCCGUGAAUCCGGGCGAUAGAAUUCAAAAUUGGUGGCGACGUCAGUCGUCGCUGGUUUGAUAUUUCUGUCGCCGUGUACGGACGUCGCGACCCGUUUGGUGUCGGUCUUGGGAGACGUGUGAAAGUUCGUUGGCACUGUCGACUUGCUCGGCAGCGUUGCGAGUACGCGUUUUUUCUGGCCGACUUGCCAGACGGUACGAACAGGUGACUGCGGCGGCUUUACGCUGUCGCAGUGCCGGUCUGCGACGAAUCUUCGGGUCUCUUUCCGACCCGUCUUGAAACACGGACCAAGGAGUCUAACGUGCGCGCGAGUCGCGGGGAGUCGAGCAGUGGCGACGGCAACGUAGUCGCUGCUCGUUACAAUACGAAACCCGUAGUAUGAAAGGCGCAAUGAAAGUGAAUUCCUUCAUUGGAAUGGGGAAGAUGGCGUUACCGAGUUCACGUUCCGCGAUCGYUGGUAUCGCGGCCGGUCGCCCGCAUUCCCGGGGCGUUCCAACGGCCCGGCAGCGUUGCGGAUCGUCGYCUCCUCGGGGGCGGCGGUCGGGCGUUGUCGAACCGGGGCGCACCUAUAGCGUGCACGUUGGUACCCGAAAGAUGGUGAACUAUGCCUGGCCAGGAUGAAGUCAGGGGAAACCCUGAUGGAGGUCCGCAGCGAUUCUGACGUGCAAAUCGAUCGUCUGAGCUGGG
rnacentral:rRNA from 1 species